CCCUCUUCACAGUCAGUGUCCAGGGGUAAUCAUUCAAAGUGUGAACGGUACUUUAAAAAUCGCAGAUUCAUCCUGCGGGAAUUCAUUUUAUGACGAGGCGCUAUUUAUUUAGAAAAACUGUCAACGUGACUUUGGAGACAGGAGUUGUUCUUCCAGUAAUAACGACUCAGCCGCGCGCUGGCGGUGGUCCAGACUGGCUUGCGCACUGGCCGUGGUCCUGACUGGCUGCCGAUGCGGAACGGAUCGGAGCGGUAUACUGCUGGAGGAGACGAAGACAGGAGGAGAAACGGAGAAGAGUAGAGGGGAAAAUGUGUACUGGCCCUUUAAGGAAGAUUAAAAUCCAUCGGAGUGUCGUAUCAGCCCCUUGAGAGAAUCGAAUCAGUAGCGUUCCUCCUUCAGUUAGAUAGGGACCAUACCUCCGCGGUAUUGACCCGCUACGCAGUUCACUGUACGGGUAGAGACUUUAGACACACACAAAUCCAGACGCAUGGGGUAGGAUUAACAACACAGCUAAUCAUGAGAGACAACUGGAUUCUAGUUAUCAUGCAGUUUCUGUUGUUUCCGCUGACAGGUUGGUCCAAUCCCGUCAUCUUCCCCAGCGGACCUCACCUGGUGGUUCCGAAGGCGGUGCUCUGGAACUCCGCUGCCAUGACAACAACACCAACACUCCAUCCACUGUUGUUUCACGGGGGUUGAGGUGGCAGAGAGAGAGGGGCAGGCGGCUGGAGGGGGAGGUAGAGGAGGGAGGAGGGGUGGUGUUUGUUAGGGUGCAGUCUGCCCAGGGAUAUCACAUGGGGCGAUACGCCUGUAUCAACAACAACACCAAGGAGCACUCCUCCAUCUACGUCUUUGUGAAAGACCCCCAGAGUCCGUUUCAGCGUUCUAUGGUGAACGGCAUUCUGGUCCGCGUCGGG